rnacentral:snRNA from 1 species
GUGCUUGCUUCGGCAGCACACAUAGUAAAAUUGGAACAAUACAGAGAUUAGCAUGGCCCCUGCAUGAGGAUGACACGCAAAUUCGUGAAGCAUUCCAUACAUGU